GUGGGGAAUAUUGGACAAUGGGCGCAAGCCUGAUCCAGCCAUGCCUCGUGAGUGAUGAAGGCCCUAGGGUUGUAAAGCUCUUUCACCGGAGAAGAUAAUGACGGUAUCCGGAGAAGAAGCCCCGGCUAACUUCGUGCCAGCAGCCGCGGUAAUACGAAGGGGGCUAGCGUUGUUCGGAUUUACUGGGCGUAAAGCGCACGUAGGCGGAUCGUUAAGUCGGGGGUGAAAUCCUGGAGCUCAACUCCAGAACUGCCUUCGAUACUGGCGAUCUUGAGUCCGGAAGAGGUGAGUGGAACUCCUAGUGUAGAGGUGGAAUUCGUAGAUAUUAGGAAGAACACCAGUGGCGAAGGCGGCUCACUGGUCCGGUACUGACGCUGAGGUGCGAAAGCGUGGGGAGCAAACAGGAUUAGAUACCCCAGUAGUCC
rnacentral:rRNA from 1 species